CGGACUCUGACCGUGUGACGCCCUCCGUUACCUCGCGGAACUAUCAAACAGGUACGAACGUGUCUUUACGGACUAAAUGUUUUGUAGGUAUGUAAAAUGUUUUCAAGGACUAAAUGUUUAGUAGAUAAGCCAAAAUAACGUGUUUUUCUGGUCUCUUUAAAUGUCUGAAAAUCUUAAUUUUGUGUCUAGAGAGAAAAGCUGAGCGCCGUCUGCCUCCUCUGUCUGUCAUAGACUUUCUUCACAGCAGGUAAGAAAGUCUGGGUAAUAGUCCUCUACUCUCAUGUGUGUUAUAUCACAGUUUACAGUUUUAAAGUAACAAUUUUUAUCAGUGUAGCUCGAUGUUUUAUUGAAACUAUCGACUCUUUUGUUGUAAGUGAAACUGAAACUGUUGAGCUGGUUCACAAAGCAAUGAAGGACACAGGAGGGUUUGUUACUAUUUAAACCACAAAUGUCAUAAGAUCAGGUUCAAAUAUUAUGUUUGUGAUUAAACCAAACCUGGUUAAAGCUUGCUGAAGUUUAUAAAGAUGUAACGUAGUUGACCCAGCAGCAGAGAGAGCAGUAGAUCUAGUGUUUGUUCAGGAUUAGAAAAAUUAUGUUUUAAAAGAUUAAUCUUUCUCUCUCUGCAGCUAAACUGUUUAACGUAGAAAAGUCUGUAUUCAUUACAAGUUAGUUAAAGCCGUCAGUUAAUUUCUUUAAUUACAUUUUCAUUGUUUUCGGAAUGGGAUUAUUUUGCAUGUCAAACAAUUUCUCAUAUCCAUAUUAACAAAAUAAUUAAAGAGGACCCUGAGGUCUCCAUUACCACAGAUUAAAUGUUUUAUUUUUUUUAAGUUAUUUUGAGUGACAUAGUCUCUCUUUAUGUUUCAUCUGACUUUGUUUUUUGUUUAUAAGCUUCAGGAUGUUUCCUCUGAUGGACAGAAGGUCCCUCAGCCUUCCCUUUGGUGCCUUCACUGACCUGCUUUUCCUCACUGUUGUCUUUCUCACCCUGAUACAUUCCUGCGCAGGU